AUGUCAUCUCGUGUGAUGAAAAACCUCCUCGCAAUGCUUGAGGCUGAAGAAGCCGAAGCAUCGAAAUACAACAACAACCAAGGUACUGCUGAUGCAUUUAACAAUCAUGGUGGCGGGAAUCAAAAUUUCUCUGGUGCCAGAGUCAACAGCGGUGCGAAUUCCGGGGACCGAAAGAAAUACCGCACCACCAACAAUGUUGGUGGCCGCACUGUAAAUAACAGUGGUCAUUUCAUUGGUAAUGGCAAUGGAGGGUAUACUGAGGGUAACUCUGACGCAUCCACAAGGAACUAUGAGUUUUAG
rnacentral:lncRNA from 1 species